GCAUAUCAUAGCGAGAAAAGAAAAUAACAAUGAUUUCCCCAGUAACGGCGAAGUGAAGAAGGAAAAGAAGCUCAAAGUUGGAACCUGCUUGGCUUAGCCAAGCCGGAUUGUAAACUGUAGAAGUGUUUUCCUGACACGCCAGGCAAAAAAAGUCCUUUGGAACAGGGCAUCAUAGAGGGUGAGAAUCCCGUCUUUGGCCUGAGCAGUUGUCUUUUGCGAUACACUUUCAAAGAGUCAGGUUGUUUGGGAAUGCAGCCUAAAUUGGGUGGUAAAUCUCACCUAAAGCUAAAUAUUGGCGAGAGACCGAUAGCGAACAAGUACCGUGAGGGAAAGAUGAAAAGAACUUUGAAAAGAGAGUUAAACAGUAUGUGAAAUUGUUAAAAGGGAACCGUUUGGAGCCAGACUGGCUUGGCUGUAAUCAAUCUGGGCUUUUGCCCGGAUGCACUUGCGGCCUAUGCCUGCCAACGACAGUUUUAUUUGGGGGAAAAAACCAGGAGGAAUGUGGCCCCUUUGCGGGGGUGUUAUAGCCUCUUGGAAAAUACCCUGGAUUGGACUGAGGAUCGCAGCGAAUGCCUUUAGGCGAGAUUGCGGCGUGCUUUUGCUGAUAAAUGCUAGAAUUUCUGCUUCGGGUGGUGCUAGUGUUUAAAGGUGGAACUCGCGCUGUAUAUUUUUUAUUCGCUUAGGUUGUUGGCUUAAUGACUCUAAAUGACCCGUCUUGAAACACGGACCAAGGAGUCCACCAUAAGUGCAAGUGUUUGGGUGCCAAACCCAUACGCGUAAGGAAACUGAUGGAUACCAAGUCCCUUUGGGAUGGCAGUAUCACCCGGCGUCGACGUUUUAUACAGAAGUGACCGAGGUAAAGCACUUAUGAUGGGACCCGAAAGAUGGUGAACUAUGCCUGAAUAGGGUGAAGCCGGAGGAAACUCCGGUGGAGGCUCGUAGCGAUUCUGACGUGCAAAUCGAUCGUCAAAUUUGGGUAUAGGGGGCGAAAGACUAAUCGAACCCAUCUAGUAGCUGGGUUCUGCG
rnacentral:rRNA from 1 species